CCCUUAGAUGUUCUGGGCCGCACGCGCGCUGCACUGAUGCAUUCAACGAGCCUAGCCUUGACCGAGAGGUCCGGGUAAUCCUUGAAACUGCAUCGUGAUGGGGCUAGAUUAUUGCAAUUAUUAAUCUUCAACGAGGAAUGCCUAGUAAGCGUGAUUCAUCAAAUCGCGUUGAUUACGUCCCUGCCCUUUGUACACACCGCCCGUCGCUCCUACCGAUUGAGUGUGUUGGUGAGGAGUUUGGAUUGGCCUCGGAAGGUGGUUCGCCACCGUCCGUAGCUGAGAAGUUCUCCAAACCGCCCCACUUAGAGGAAGGAGAAGUCGUAACA
rnacentral:rRNA from 1 species